rnacentral:rRNA from 1 species
UCGCGAAAACUUUGCAAUACACGAAAGUGUGACAGGGCUAUCCCGAGUGCCAUCCGCUGAGGAAGGCUUUUACCCAGUCUAGAACGCUGGGGGGAAUAAGGAGAGGGCAAGUCUGGUGUCAGCCGCCGCGGUAAUACCAGCUCUCCGAGUGGUGUGGAUGUUUAUUGGGCCUAAAGCAUCCGUAGCUGGCUAGGUUAGUCCCCUGUUAAAUCCACCGAAUUAAUCGUUGGAUUGCGGGGGAUACUGCUUGGCUAGGGGACGAGAGAGGCAGACGGUAUUUCCGGGGUAGGGGUGAAAUCCUAUAAUCCCGGGAGGACCACCAGUGGCGAAGGCUGUCUGCUAGAACGCGCCCGACGGUGAGGGAUGAAAGCUGGGGGAGCGAACCGGAUUAGAUACCCGGGUAGUCCCAGCUGUAAACGAUGCAGACUAGGUGUUUGGACGGCCACGUGCCGUUCUAGUGCCGCAGGGAAACUGUUAAGUCUGCCGCCUGGGGAGUACGAUCGCAAGAUUGAAACUUAAAGGAAUUGGCGGGGG